AUUACUAGUGUAAACUGUAUAUAAGGAGAGAGCCGAGCUAUAGUCAUUGUUGGUCAGAAUUGCUUGACUUGCUGGUUGGAACUGUUACUGUCGUGUGUGAAGAAGUGGAUGGAUCUGCUAUCAUCGUGAUUUGUUACCAGCAUUGAAUUGCUGUUUAUUAACUACUGCUGUUUGUCUGUGGUGAAAUCCGGCCGGAUUUAUCCAGCUCGCGCGAACCGGUAGGGCCAGCGGCGGGAGGCUCCACUCACCCUCCAGGACAUCACUACAUCCCGUUUUUGACCCUCUACACAUGCGCAGAAGGCUCUGUCCAUGUGCAGAAGAGGCGCACACACUCACAUUUCCAAACUGGUAGCAAAGAUAUCCCACCUCCAUUUUCUUCCAGAGAAAAUUCAAGUUUGCCACAGAAAUACAGAUUCCUGCAGAGAAAAAUACAGCUAGAGGAGUUAGAGGAUGAGAGAUUUUGCCUUAAUUAAACCUAGCUGAAUAUAU